CUCUCUCGGCCUUCACCUUCCUGUCGAUGCCUUGUGGAAACCUGCACUAGCCCUGGAGAUGUGUUCACCACAAUUGGAUCCACAAGACUUUGCACUCACCAGCAAGUGUUCCUGCAUCCUUCAUCAUGGCUCGUGGCUUUGCGAGUCUGAAGAGGGACUUAUGGACUAGCGUCAGACUUACAGACUUGAGUUGGCCUGGGCGGGAUGUUUUAUUGAUGCACCCUUAGUUCUUCAGAACGAAGCUCUUUCUGACACAUGUGUGAGUGCCACUGGAUUUGUUUCUCCAGUCAAUCUGGCCUCACACAAGAUUCUUCGCAAAAGUUCCACUGCCGAGCCAACUUUUGUUAAACGAAAGACUGCCUAUGAGUUGAUUCUGACUCAUUUUCACCUGAGCAGAGCUCCUCAACUGUUUUCAAUAGAACUGCUGGUGGGGUUGAACUAUUGACCUUUUGCUUAGCAGCCCAAUGCUUACCUCACAGCGCCAAUUGGACUUCUGAAAGUUUCUAGCCAGCCCCUGGUGACUCAGGACAUAUGCUAUGGACUAUUGGGACUUCAGACCCUGAUUUUUCAAGGCACCCAGCAGCCUUCAUAAGCUCACCAGAAGGACUCUAUGCGGAAAACCCGGGCAACUAAGUGCAUGUAUAAGCUUGCUUGUGCUUCUGGAAACAUCUUGAACAUUUCCCUGCACUCCACCACAACAGUUUCAGUGAAAAAUGGCUCUGCAGUUUAUUUCCUCAUGCUAAUUGAAAUGAAUUAUGGGACCAUGCAGAAGAAGCCUUCCCUCUAAAUUAGACUGUGCAGGGAUCUCGGAUUCACCUGCAGUUGGACCACAAGGGCAAACUGAGGCUUCAGAGUUAUCGACUCAGAAAAGGAAGAUGCAUAUUAGCAAAAAUGAAGUGCAUGAAUGAAAGGAAGCCUUAACAAAACAAUACACACUCAUCCUUAGACAAAUGAAUGAGAUGUUAGUUUGAAACAGUUGUGUGAUUCAUAUUUUCAGCACUUUGUGAUAUUAAAUUGGUUUAUUAAAAUAAACUA